CGACGCCCUCUUUUGGACCGUUGGAAAACAACCAACCGUUGGUUUUUUAGCUACAUUUAGCUUCAAAUUACUAGUUUUAUCUCAAUUAAAUUAAUUAAAAUGAGCAAACAGUUGCUUAUUUACACAUCCAGCAGUCAUUGAGCAACAUUAUCAUUCACUUGAAGACGUGUUAUCUGGCCAACUGAUGAAUGGAUUUCAAAGAGCCGGUCGGGUUGCUGUGGUUACAAAAAAGAAAGGACGUCUGGGCCCGUAGCUUUGCACAGGCCUCCCAGGGGCUUCAGGACAUCCAACACCACAGGCCAGCUCUUGAGAAGGAGGCAGGGACAAUAGUACCUUCAGGUCCCUAUCCAGGCGCAGGAGAUACCACUGGGGCCUCAUUGACAAAUUGUCCUUGUCUGGCCGCAUGAGAGAGUGGGGAUUGCGGUAAUUGCAUAUUUCCCUCUAAUUGCAUUUGUCACAUGUGGGGUCUGCUGCUGUGGAGCCAGGUCUGAGGCCCUUCUCAGUGAUGUGUUAAACCAAACAGCUGAACUCUCACCUGCACCGCGAGAAAGGGGAUGUGCAAGAAGAGGCCUGCAAAGAGGGCAAUAAAUUAUGCAGUGGCACAAAACAUCAGCAGAGCAGCAGUGGAGUCGGGCACAGCGGCUACUGCCAGACGGAGACAUGCUGCAGGUCCAUUAAAGCCUUGGACGUGGUCAUGAAGGAGUCGACUCCAUGGUGUGCUGUUUGAGGACAAUCAAGGGCUUCUACCUGCGAGAUCACAAAACAGUCUCCAGAGGAGUAUGCAUGAUAACAUACUUACUUUUAUUGUCAGCUUCUGUUAUGAUUAGAGUUUAAUAUUGACUAUUAUAAUAAAUACAAAGUCUUUAUUACAUGUAGUGCCAGAAUCAAAAAUAAUCUGACUGAGGAUUUAAGGUUUUCUCAUGAGAAAAUAAUAAUCUGGAUCUGUUUGAUGUAUUUUCAGAUAGAGAUGCAACAAACAGUAAUUUUAUUAUCGAUUAAUCGUUGAAACUAGUCAAAUAUGCCCAUUAAAUUUAAAUUUGAUGAUUUGAUCAAACGCCUUAUUUUGUCAGAUGAAAUGCCCCAA